AGAGUUUGAUCAUGGCUCAGGACGAACGCUGGCGGCGUGGAUUAGGCAUGCAAGUCGAACGGUAUCAUCCUUUCGGGGGUGAGAGAGUGGCGAACUGGUGAGUAACACGUAGGUUAUCUACCCUCAAGACGGGGACAACCCAGGGAAACUUGGGCUAAUACCGGAUGUGAGCAACUUUUUAGUUGUUUGAAAGGUGGCGUAAGCUGUCGCUUGGGGAUGAGCCUGCGUCCUAUUAGUUAGUUGGUGAGGUAACGGCUCACCUAGGCAAUGAUAGGUAGGCGGCCUUAACGGGUGGUCGCCCACACUGGGAUUGAGAUACGGCCCAGACUCCUACGGGAGGCAGCAGUCGAGAAUAGUCUACAAUGGUCGGAAGACUGAUAGUGCGACGCCGCGUGAACGAUGAAUCCCUUCGGGGUGUAAAGUUCUUUUAUAUGUGAGCAGUGCUUCUUAUAUUAAGAGUAUGGGGAGAGAGAUAUUAGCAUAUGAAUAAGCAACGGCUAACUCCGUGCCAGCAGCCGCGGUAACACGGGGGUUGCGAGCGUUGUCCGGAAUUACUAGGCGUAAAGGGCAGGCAGGCGGAUCCAUAAGUUUAUCGUUUAAGGCGUCGGCUUAACCGGCGUAGGGCGGUAGAUACUGUGGAUCUGGAAUGCGGUUGGGGAAGACAGAAUUCCUGGUGUAGCGGUGGAAUGCGCAGAGAUCAGGAGGAAUACCGAAGGCGAAGGCAGUCUUCCAAGCCGUUAUUGACGCUCAACUGCGAAGGUGUGGGUAUCAAACAGGAUUAGAUACCCUGGUAGUCCACACAGUAAACGAUAAUCACUGGGUG
rnacentral:rRNA from 1 species